GCUAGAGGGGCUGUAUGCCAGAUUGUUCGGUAUGAGAGAGCUCAAGGGCCACAUAUAGUGGUUAAAGAAGGGGAGGAACCAGGAUAUUUUUGGGAUGCUUUUUCAAACUAUUUGCCUCUGAUGGAUAAAUCUAGUAAUGGAGUGGAUNCUGGGAAAUCAACAAUUGAGAUUUGCCCUGGUGAGAGAAAAGUGGAUGCAUAUAAUGUUGAUUUUGAGAUUUUCCAAAAAGCAAUUAAGGGAGGUUUUGUGCCUCCAUUUGCAUCGUCAGAGAAUGAACAUGAAACCCACCUUCCUGCCAGAGAAAGCAGUUGGAGUGUGCUAAGGCGAAAGUUUGCCCCUGUUGAUAUGAAGGAGUUUGUCUCAGCACCAAAGAUAUUCCUCUCCAGGGUCUAUUCAGAUUCUAUGAUGAUCGUGCACUCCUCAUCACCAUCUUCAUCAUCUUCGUCCUCAUCUUCAUCAUCUUCUCCUCCUUAUCUCUCUCCAGAUUCCAUGUCUUCUGAUUCUAGUACCAGCUCAAAGUACUUCUCAGAAUCCUCUCUAGAUUCUCCUUCAGGAGCUUCGUGUUCUGUUCUUGUAUCUUCAACAUUGUCUAACUUCUCUAACUUGUCUCUUUUCUCAUCCAAGGCUUCUUGUCAUUCACCAUCUAACACUCCUGGACUUCAUGCUCUCAAUAGCAUGUCAAAUCAAUGUUCUCAAGUAACUUCCUCACCAUCUAAAAAAUCUUCACUCUCACUUGCAGAACGUAGAGGUGGCUUGUCUAAAUCUUUGAAGCUGCCAGUGAUGACUGAUAAUACGAGGAUGACUGAUAAUACGAGGAUGACUAACACACCACCAAGUUCACUUGCAUCCCAGGAAGAUGGUGCUAGGAUAAACAUGAAUACUUUUUCUUGGUGUAAUUCAAAUGGUACAGAAAUUGUUUUAGAGUCUGAGAAUCAUGCUAAAGAAGACCAAGAUUCAAUGAAAAAAUGCAAGUUGAAUAUAUCUCGAGAUAAAGUAGUUAGUGCUAACUCUUAUGACAGAGAAGCUGCCUGUGUAAAUAAUUGUGAUGGACCUGGUAGAAAUUGUCCUUUGGGAGACAGCUUGGGGUCUUCCACCUCAAAUGGGAAAGAGGAAAAUGAUUCAUCUUAUUGUAACCUAAUGCAACCAUUGGUAUUCCACUGGCCCAGUUUGGAAAAAGUUGCAACUUUUGGUACCAGUGACUUGGAUUCUAAAGCUGCUUUUGCAAUUUUAGCACCAACUACAGGUUUAGGCAGAGAUGGGAGUAGGAUUCUAUAUCUUUGGAUAGGAAGGUCAUUUCCUUUUGAUGAGAGCCUGAUUCAGAUAGAUUGCAGCAAAGGAUUGAUGGUUGGAAAAUAUAUUGACUGGAAUCAAGUUGGUUGCUAUGUUCUCACUCGAAUGGAUCUUCCAAAAGAUAUCCUUGUUAAGUUUAUCCAAGAAGGUGAAGAACCAGCUGAAUUUCUUGCAUUGUUGAGUGCAGUGUAGCACUGCUGGGAUCAAGGAUGACUCUGCAAUUCAAUAGCUUAAAUCUUCUUUCAGUGACUUCAGCUGGCCUAGUUUACUUCACAAGUUUUCAAGCAUUAAAAUGAACUUUCGUGGCAAAACCAGUGAGGUGGCUGCUUUCUAAGGUUCUCUGUGGCUACUCAUCUGGUUGUACAGUACUGUAACACCCUCAUUACUGAAUCAUUUUGUUCCACAAAUUUAAUGGUCCUGUAUAUUCAUUUUGUCAGAAACAAAUUCCUUGAGG
rnacentral:misc_RNA from 1 species